rnacentral:rRNA from 1 species
AGUAACACGUGGGCAACCUUCCUCUAGGUGGGGGACAACCCUCGGAAACGAGGGCUAAUACCGCAUAAUAUCGUCGAAUCUUAUGUUUUGACGAUCAAACGGUGGGGAUCUCUUCGGAGACCUGCCGCCAAGAGAUGGGCCCGCGCACGAUUAGCUUGUUGGUGAGGUAACGGCUCACCAAGGCUCCGAUCGUUAGCCGACCUGAGAGGGUGACCGGCCACACUGGGAUUGAGAUACGGCCCAG